GACGAACGCUGGCGGUGUGCUUAACACAUGCAAGUCGAACGGUAAGGCCCUUUCUGGGGUACACGAGUGGCGAACGGGUGAGUAACACGUGAGUAACCUGCCCUCAUCUCUGGGAUAACAGUCGGAAACGGUUGCUAAUACUGGAUAUGAGCCUGCAAUGCAUCUUGUGGGUUGGAAAGAUUUUUUGGUUGGGGAUGGACUCGCGGCCUAUCAGCUUGUUGGUGAGGUAGUGGCUCACCAAGGCUUCGACGGGUAGCCGGCCUGAGAGGGCGACCGGCCACAUUGGGACUGAGGUACGGCCCAAACUCCUACGGGAGGCAGCAGUGGGGAAGAUUGCACAAUGGACGGAAGUCUGAUGCAGCAACGCCGCGUGCGGGAUGACGGCCUUCGGGUUGUAAACCGCUUUCAAUUGUGACGAAGCUUUUUGUGACGGUAGCAGUAGAAGAAGCACCGGCUAACUACGUG
rnacentral:rRNA from 1 species